UACGAAGGGGGCUAGCGUUGCUCGGAAUCACUGGGCGUAAAGCGCACGUAGGCGGCUUUCUAAGUCAGGGGUGAAAUCCUGGAGCUCAACUCCAGAACUGCCUUUGAUACUGGAGAGCUCGAGUCCGGAAGAGGUGAGUGGAACUCCGAGUGUAGAGGUGAAAUUCGUAGAUAUUCGGAAGAACACCAGUGGCGAAGGCGGCUCACUGGCCCGAUACUGACGCUGAGGCACGAAAGCGUGGGGAGCAAACAGG
rnacentral:rRNA from 1 species